rnacentral:rRNA from 1 species
GACGAACGCUGGCGGCGUGCUUAACACAUGCAAGUCGAACGGAAAGGCCCUGCUUUUGUGGGGUGCUCGAGUGGCGAACGGGUGAGUAACACGUGAGUAACCUGCCCUUGACUUUGGGAUAACUUCAGGAAACUGGGGCUAAUACCGGAUAGGAGCUCCUGCUGCAUGGUGGGGGUUGGAAAGUUUCGGCGGUUGGGGAUGGACUCGCGGCUUAUCAGCUUGUUGGUGGGGUAGUGGCUUACCAAGGCUUUGACGGGUAGCCGGCCUGAGAGGGUGACCGGCCACAUUGGGACUGAGAUACGGCCCAGACUCCUACGGGAGGCAGCAGUGGGGAAUAUUGCACAAUGGGCGGAAGCCUGAUGCAGCAACGCCGCGUGCGGGAUGACGGCCUUCGGGUGGUAAACCGCUUUCGCCUGUGACGAAGCGUGAGUGACGGUAAUGGGUAAAGAAGCAUCGGCUAACUACGU